UACAGAGGGUGCGAGCGUUACUCGGAAUUACUGGGCGUAAAGCGUGCGUAGGUGGUUCGUUAAGUCUGUCGUGAAAGCCCCGGGCUCAACCUGGGAAUGGCGAUGGAUACUGGCGGGCUAGAGUGCGGUAGAGGAGAGUGGAAUUCCCGGUGUAGCAGUGAAAUGCGUAGAGAUCGGGAGGAACAUCAGUUGCGAAGGCGGCUCUCUGGACCAGCACUGACACUGAGGCACGAAAGCGUGGGGAGCAAACAGG
rnacentral:rRNA from 1 species